UACGAAGGGAGCUAGCGUUGUUCGGAAUCACUGGGCGUAAAGCGCACGUAGGCGGAUGUGUCAGUCAGGGGUGAAAUCCCGGAGCUCAACUUCGGAACUGCCUUUGAUACAGCACAUCUGGAGUCCGGAAGAGGUGGGUGGAAUUCCUAGUGUAGAGGUGAAAUUCGUAGAUAUUCGCAAGAACACCAGUGGCGAAGGCGGCUCACUGGCCCGGAACUGACGCUGAGGUGCGAAAGCGUGGGGAGCAAACAGG
rnacentral:rRNA from 1 species